GCAGUAGCCGCGGUAAAACGGAGGGUGCAAGCGUUAAUCGGAAUUACUGGGCGUAAAGCGCACGCAGGCGGUCUGACAAGUCAGAUGUGAAAUCCCCGGGCUUAACCUGGGAACUGCAUUUGAAACUGUCAGGCUGGAGUCUUGUAGAGGGGGGUAGAAUUCCAGGUGUAGCGGUGAAAUGCGUAGAGAUCUGGAGGAAUACCGGUGGCGAAGGCGGCCCCCUGGACAAAGACUGACGCUCAGGUGCGAAAGCGUGGGGAGCAAACAGGAUUAGAUACCCGGGUAGUCCCUGUCUCUUAUAC
rnacentral:rRNA from 1 species